GGGCCGAUGGUCUAGGGGUUAGCGGGUGAUCCCUGCCCUCAGAUGACGUCGCGCUUACAACGCGGAGGUCGCCGGUUCAAUUCCGGCUCGGCCCA
rnacentral:tRNA from 1 species